AUUGAACGCUGGCGGCAUGCCUUACACAUGCAAGUCGAACGGCAGCACGGGAGCAAUCCUGGUGGCGAGUGGCGAACGGGUGAGUAAAGUAUCGGAACGUGCCCAGUCGUGGGGGAUAACGUAGCGAAAGUUACGCUAAUACCGCAUACGAUCUAUGGAUGAAAGCGGGGGAUCGCAAGACCUCGCGCGCUUGGAGCGGCCGAUAGCAGAUUAGGUAGUUGGUGGGGUAAAGGCGCACCAAGCCGACGAUCUGUAGCUGGUCUGAGAGGACGACCAGCCACACUGGGACUGAGACACGGCCGAGACGCCUACGGGAGGCAGCAGUGGGGAAUUUUGGACAAUGGGCGAAAGCCUGAUCCAGCCAUGCGGCGUGCAGGAUGAAGGCCUUCGGGUUGUAAACUGCUUUUGUACGGAACGAAAAGGUUUGGGCUAAUAAGCUGAGCUCAUGACGGUACCGUAAGAAUAAGCACCGGCUAACUACGUGCCAGCCGCCGCAGUAA
rnacentral:rRNA from 1 species